ACUAAGGGGGAUUAGCACUUUAUUCUAACACGAUAGGUUGAGAGAUCCUACAUGAUGUGUGACGCCAGUGAGUGCUCCAGGAUCCAUGGAGGCCAAGGUACAAGUUGUGAAGAGACUGCUGACUGUUUUGGUAAAGAGCUGGACCGCGUCUGUAUCCUGGGUGUCGAUGAAGUGGCGAUCAAAUCCAGGGCAUCUUGCGAAUAUUUCGUUUUGGAACUUCCAGGGGCUUGUUGUAUAAAAGAAAAAAGGGGCCAAGAUCCACAUAGCUUGUACUAGUUUCUGGGUUUCUCCUUGUGGUAACAGACGCAUACUGCAACAUUAAGCAGGGUAGUCGGAUGUGUCAUCAAGUCAAGAGACCAUCCAGGGCAAUAGGAAGCAGCGAAGAAAAAAAAAUCCACGUUGGCCGGCUGCUUAUUGUAAAAUGGUCGCAGAGGUCAAUCAAGGUCCAUAUAUCAAGGCUCCAUUAAAAUCCAGAGGGUAUCAGAAGGAAAUAGGGUCCAUGCCAGGAAAUGAAAUCAGAAAGGUCCAGAGAAUAAGCCAACGGCCAAGGGGAAUAAGCAUCCAGGAAUUGCAAGUACAGUCCAUCCUUACACUGGAUUCGAUAAAGGCCAUACCUCCAGGAAGUUCUGUAGUGUAUCCAAGUCAUCGAUUGCCAUCAUUAAGCUUUCGAGACAGGGUCUCCAUACCACUCAACGGUUGUCAAGGGUUCCAUCCAGGUAGUUAAUCCACGGGUAUUGGUAAAAUCCUCAGGCAUAAACAAGUCGACGACCGGUGCUGGCACUCAUUUCUCACAGCACCGAGUCGGUGAACAUCCAAGCAAAAGGCGAGGAGUAAUCCAGAAGUCCAUGGGCGAGCAAAACUCACAAGGCCAAAAGUACAUGAGUGAGCAGUACAGGUCCGGAAGUGACGGUAGAAAGCAAAAGAGACAGCAAUGCAAAGAAAAGGGACUGGGUCUACCUGAAGCGUUCUGUUGGUCGGUAUAAAGUGUUGUCUAUCUAGAUCCUUGGCAAGAAACUAAAAAGAAACAAGCAAAACAACGGUCCUGUCCUGGGAUUUCUGGGUCGUAGUCUUGUCCUGAUGGAAUAUGGUUUAUGGUAUCCUCGGGUUGUGUGUAAACGGGUUGGAAGAUGUUGUUUAGGAGUCAGAUGUGGGGUGGGAUGGUAGUUAUGUUAAGUUAAAAGAAGAAUUGAGGACUAGUCGAAGUCGAAGCAAGGCUUGAUGAGUAAGUUGGGUAUAAAUGUCGCUGUGUGUGUGUCUGAUGUAGAGGGAAAGGAGAAGAGAGUUGGGAGACAAGAGUCGGGGGGAAGGUUGGGCUUUAAUGGAUUUUUUGGGAAAGAUGGGAUGGCAAGUUGGGAAGGCGCUCACUUGGUUCGGGGAGAGUGGGAAGGGGCGGCCCGGCACGCGGUGGGCCAGCGUCCCAGACAGCGCUGGCGAUGGCUGAGAUGGCCGUCGCUGUUUGGCUCUGCUGUGUGAUAACACCGCAUAGCGCCAGAAUAGUCGGUCGCCCGUGUCCAGUCAGACUACCACAUCGCCUAGUCUUGACUCGGUUACACUCAAGAAACAUGAGACGCGCACGAAGCGGUGAGCUGGUCGUUCCAUCUCGUCCACUCAAUGGCGUUUGCUCCCCCCACCGCCGUCGCAGUCUCACGCUAUGCUUCCUUCCGAUACGACGACUCGAUGCACACGGCACCACCCUCAUGACUGUAGUCACUGUACAGUUGGCAUUGCAGAGACAGGGCUUCCACAAAGGUGCAACCGAUGCCAAUCAAGAGUGCACACGGGAUGUGAAUAUGCAACUUCGCUUACAGCUGGAUGCGGAUUGCUUCACUUUCAAAGACAGGCUGCGUAGGACAGCACAAAGCUCACGUCCGGUUGAUCCACGACAUUGACAAGACAAGAACUCGGAUGCAGAUUCUAACUACGUACCUACCAAUGCUGGCAAAGAGUGAAUUACCUCACUCAAUAGGAUCAACGACAAGUUAUCCGCUUACAUCGCUGAGAAAUAUGGAGCAUGGGCAAGGAUUGUUGGAAAUAAAUGGGGGCAGGUAAACAGGAUACAAAAUUAAUCGCGCAAAGAGGGUGAAGCGAAUCGAUGCUUUUAUCUUCGAUUACAUCCUCUGAAGUCUGUAUGCGUACUUGCAAAAAACGGAUUGUAUUGGCUAUUAGAAAUUGGGCAGCAAUGCAGACGACUAGACGCUUGGACCGGACACUAACUAACUACUUGUCGCGGAAUGCAUAUACACAUCAUCCAUUCGGACGUGCUGGAGGAUCCCUGUAAAUGUCUUCGAGCAAGUUAGCACUCUGAUUGAAGAUAAGAAGAUGUUGCGUCAAGAAAAUGCCAAAAACAGGUAUCAGAUAAAGGUGAAAGAUGGUAAAUGUUUGUCGUUCAUGAAGUCCAAGACUUUCAGGUGAACUAUGCUUUAAAUUUGUUGUUCAUCAUAAAGAGGGCCUCGAGUGAUGCACGCAUAGCAAAUCAUCAUUGCUCUCAUGAAAGUCGAUUAUACACGAAUGAAGUUGGAUGACUGAAUGAUUGUAGGAAUUUCAGUUGUGCGGAAGAAAAUCUGUCACGCCUACCCGAGGAUACUGUUUGUCUUGUUUGCUUCAAGUCACGUGCAUGAUAACAAAUCCAACGUCACUCGACGACAUCAAACCCACACUUAUCAAUCUAACAGCAGCUACAGUGCAAUUGAUGAUGUUCAUUUAAGCAUGAGAAGAGACUUUCAUAGACCUGAAUUAGCCGGUUGCUAUAUACCCAGGUCGUAGUUACU
rnacentral:lncRNA from 1 species